GAUGAAGAACGCAGCGAAAUGCGAUACGUAGUGUGAAUUGCAGAAUUCCGUGAAUCAUCGAAUCUUUGAACGCACAUUGCGCCCGCCAGUAUUCUGGCGGGCAUGCCUGUUCGAGCGUCAUUUCAACCAUCAAGCCCCCGGCUUGUGUUGGGGACCUGCGGCUGCCGCAGGCCCUGAAAACCAGUGGCGGGCUCGCUAGUCACUCCGAGCGUAGUAAUACAUCUCGCUCAGGGCGUGCUGCGGGUUCCGGCCGUUAAAAAGCCUUAUUUACCCAAGGUUGACCUCGGAUCAGGUAGGAAGACCCGCUGAACUUAAGCAUAUCAAUAAGCGGAGGA
rnacentral:misc_RNA from 1 species